rnacentral:rRNA from 1 species
ACCGUCUUCCAACGCAGGAGAAAAAAAAAAAAAAAAAAAAAAAAAGGAACUCGGCAAAAGGUGCUUCGCCUGUUUACCAAAAACAUCGCUCCCCGCUAAUUAAUCAUAUGGGGAGUCCUGCCUGCCCAGUGACCAAGGUUAAACGGCCGCGGUAUCUUGACCGUGCAAAGGUAGCAUAAUCACUUGUCUCCUAAAUAGAGACUGGUAUGAAAGGCAAGACGGAGCUAGACUGUCUCUUUUUUUAUAAUUGAAAUUUACUUUCACGUGAAGAGGCGUGGAUAAAAUCGUUAGACGAGAAGACCCUGUCGAGCUUAAAGCAAAAAUUAGAACUAUUUAUACUAGUUUUCAUUUUACUAAUUUAUAAACUUAUAAAACAAAACUUCAAUGCUUCUAAAAAAGCUUUGGUUGGGGCAACCGCGGAAAAAGAAAACCUCCCGCUAACAAACUAUUUAACUAAGGAAAGCCCUCCUACUAUCAAAAAUGAAUACAUGAUCCACUUUAGGUGAUCAAAGGAACAAGUUACCGCAGGGAUAACAGCGUUAUCUUUUUUGAGAGUUCACAUUGACAAAAAGGUUUGCGACCUCGAUGUUGGAUCGGGACAUCCUAAGGGUGCAGAAGCUUUUAAGGGUUGGUCUGUUCGACCAUUAAAGUCCUACGUGAUCUGAGUUCAGACCGGCGAAAGCCAGGUCAGUUUCUAUCUUCGUUAACAUUUUUCUUAGUACGAAAGGACCAGAAAAAAAGUGUCCAUACAACCCUAUUGUAAACACUAAAAUUAAAAAC